rnacentral:rRNA from 1 species
GACGAACGCUGGCGGCGUGCCUAAUACAUGCAAGUAGAACGCUGAAGCGAGGAGCUUGCUCUUCUUGGAUGAGUUGCGAACGGGUGAGUAACGCGUAGGUAACCUGCCUUGUAGCGGGGGAUAACUAUUGGAAACGAUAGCUAAUACCGCAUAACAAUAGGUGACACAUGUCAUUUAUUUGAAAGGGGCAAUUGCUCCACUACAAGAUGGACCUGCGUUGUAUUAGCUAGUAGGUGAGGUAACGGCUCACCUAGGCGACGAUACAUAGCCGACCUGAGAGGGGGAUCGGCCACCCUGGGACUGGGACACGGCCCAGACUCCUGCGGGAGGCAGCAGUAGGGAAUCUUCGGCAAUGGUGGCAACCCUGACCGAGCAACGCCGCGUGAGUGAAGAAGGUUUUCGGAUCGUAAAGCUCUGUUGUAAGUCAAGAACGAGUGUGAGAGUGGAAAGUUCACACUGUGCCGGUAGCUUACCAGAAAGGGCCGGCUAACUACGU